AGAGGGUGCGGGCGUUGUCCGGAAUCACUGGGCGUAAAGGGCGCGUAGGCGGCCUGGUAAGUCGGGGGUGAAACGCUGCGGCUCAACCGCAGCACUGCCUUCGAGACUGUCAGGCUUGAGCACGGUAGAGGCUGGUGGAAUUCCCGGUGUAGCGGUGGAAUGCGUAGAGAUCGGGAAGAACAUCGGUGGCGAAGGCGGCCAGCUGGGCCGUUGCUGACGCUGAGGCGCGACAGCGUGGGGAGCAAACAGGAUUAGAUACCCUGGUAGUCCACGCCGUAAACGAUGGGUACUAGGCGUCGGGGGGAGCGACCCUCUCGGUGCCGUCGCUAACGCAGUAAGUACCCCGCCUGGGGAGUACGGUCGCAAGACUG
rnacentral:rRNA from 1 species